rfam:Citrus sinensis cultivar Ridge Pineapple sweet orange scaffold11734_contig_1, whole genome shotgun sequence.
AUGCCAUGACGAGGGCACCUCUUGAGUAACUCCUUAAAUCUUUCUCAAACCUCAUACAAGCUCUCAUCUUCUAGUUGAUGAAAAAAAGCAAUUUCAUUCCGCACCUU